rnacentral:rRNA from 1 species
GACAGAGGGUGCAAACGUUGUUCGGAUUUAUUGGGCGUAAAGAGCGUGUAGGCGGCCAUGUAGGUCCGGUGUGAAAACUCGAGGCUUAACCUCGAGAUGUCAUCGGAAACCAUUUGGCUAGAGUCCGGAAGAGGAGAGUGGAAUUCCUGGUGUAGCGGUGAAAUGCGCAGAUAUCGAGAGGAACACCUGCGGCGAAGGCGGGUUGCUGGGCCGACACUGACGCUGAUGCGCGAAAGCCAGGGGAGCGAACGGG